rnacentral:rRNA from 1 species
GUCAUUUAGAGGAAGUAAAAGUCGUAACAAGGUCUCCGUAGGUGAACCUGCGGAGGGAUCAUU